UGGUCAAGUUAUUAAGGGUGCAGGGCGGAUGCCUUGGCACUAGGAGCCGAUGAAGGACGUGAUAAGCUGCGAUAAGCUUCGGGGAGUUGCACGUAAACUUUGAUCCGAAGAUUUCCGAAUGAGGAAACUCACUUAGAGUAAUGUCUAAGUAUCAUUAAGUGAAUACAUAGCUUAAUGAGGGGAACUCAGGGAACUGAAACAUCUAAGUACCUGAAGGAAGAGAAAGAAAUUCGAUUCCGUAAGUAGCGGCGAGCGAACGCGGAUUAGCCCAAACCAAUAAAGUUUUCUUUAUUGGGGUUGCGGACAUAUCAUAACGAAGAGGUAUCGUAAUUGAAGAGGUUUGGAAAGACCCACCACAGAAGGUAAUAGUCCUGUAUGUUAAACGAGAAGACUUUAGAUAUGAUCCAGAGUACCACGGGACACGUGAAACCCUGUGGGAAGCAGGAGGGACCACCCUCCAAGGCUAAAUACUACCUAGUGACCGAUAGCGUAUAGUACCGUGAGGGAAAGGUGAAAAGAACCCCGGGAGGGGAGUGAAAUAGAACCUGAAACCCUGCACUUACAAGCUGUGGAAGCACAUUUCUUGUGUGACCGCGUACUUUUUGUAGAACGGGCCAACGAGUUACGUUAAGUAGCAAGGUUAAGCACUUAAGGUGCGGAGCCGUAGCGAAAGCGAGUUUUAACUGAGCGUUCAGUUACUUGACGUAGACCCGAAACCGGGCGACCUACCCAUGAGCAGGAUGAAGCGAAAGUAAAAUUUCGUGGAGGUCCGAACCCACGAGCGUUGAAAAGCUCGGGGAUGACUUGUGGGUAGCGGUGAAAUUCCAAUCGAGCCCGGAGAUAGCUGGUUCUCCCCGAAAUAGCUUUAGGGCUAGCCUCAAGGUGAGAGAUACGGAGGUAGAGCACUGAAUGUCCUAGGGGGUAUUGCACCUACCGAAGACUAUCAAACUCCGAAUGCCGUCAUCUUAUACUUGGGAGUCAGACUGUGGGUGAUAAGAUUCAUAGUCGAAAGGGCAACAGCCCAGAUCGUCAGCUAAGGUCCCUAAAUGUAAGUUAAGUGGUAAAGGAUGUGGGAUUGCACAGACAACCAGGAUGUUGGCUUAGAAGCAGCCACUCAUUCAAAGAGUGCGUAAUAGCUCACUGGUCGAGUGAUCCUGCGCCGAAGAUUUCCGGGGCUAAAACUUACUACCGAAGCUACGGCAUCAGUAAUGAUGGGUAGGGGAGCUUCCCAUACGGGUUGAAGCAUGACCGUAAGGACAUGUGGACAGUAUGGGAGUGAGAAUGUUGGCAUGAGUAGCGAGAUGUGGGUGAGAAUCCCACAGGCCGUAAACCCAAGGUUUCCAGGGGAAGGUUCGUCCGCCCUGGGUUAGUCGGGACCUAAGCUGAGGCCGAAAGGCGUAGGUGAUGGACAACAGGUUGAUAUUCCUGUACUACCGAUAACCGUUUGAGAGAAGGGAUGACACAGUAGGAUAAGCUAAGCACACUGUUGGUUAUGUGUGCCCAAGCAUUGAGGCAGUCAAAGUAGGCAAAUCCGCUUUGAUAAUGCUGGGAUGUGAUGGGGAGCGAAAUUUAGUAGCGAAGUAGCUGAUUUCACACUGUCAAGAAAAGUCUCUAUCGAGGUUAAAGGUACCCGUACCGCAAACCGACACAGGUGGGUGAGGAGAGUAUCCUAAGGCCAGCGAGAGAACUGUUGUUAAGGAACUCGGCAAAAUGACCCCGUAACUUAGGGAUAAGGGGUGCCACCAUCAGGUGGCCGCAGAGAAUAGGCCCAAGCGACUGUUUACCAAAAACAUAGGUUUCUGCUAAGUCGCAAGACGAUGUAUAGGAGCUGACGCCUGCCCGGUGCUGGAAGGUUAAGGGGAUCUGUUAGAGCAAUCGAAGCAGUGAACUUAAGCCCCAGUAAACGGCGGCCGUAACUAUAACGGUCCUAAGGUAGCGAAAUUCCUUGUCGGGUAAGUUCCGACCCGCACGAAAGGCGUAACGAUUUGGGCACUGUCUCAACAACAGACUCGGUGAAAUUGUAAUUCCGGUGAAGAUGCCGGAUACCUGCGACAGGACGGAAAGACCCCAUGGAGCUUUACUGUAGCUUGACAUUGGGUCUUGGUACUACAUGUACAGGAUAGGUGGGAGGCUUUGAAACCAGGACGCCAGUUUUGGCGGAGCCAUCCUUGGGAUACCACCCUUGUAGUACUGGGACUCUAACCAUAGGCCAUGAAUCUGGUCUUGGGACACUGUCAGGUGGGCAGUUUGACUGGGGCGGUCGCCUCCCAAAAGGUAACGGAGGCGCUCAAAGGUUCUCUCAGUACGGUCGGAAAUCGUACGUAGAGUGUAAAGGCAAAAGAGAGCUUGAUUGCAAGACAUACAGGUCGAGCAAGGAUGAAAAUCGGACUUAGUGAUCCGGUGGUUCUGCGUGGAAGGGCCAUCGCUCAACGGAUAAAAGCUACCCUGGGGAUAACAGGCUUAUCUCCCCCAAGAGUCCACAUCGACGGGGAGGUUUGGCACCUCGAUGUCGGCUCAUCACAUCCUGGGGCUGUAGUAGGUCCCAAGGGUUGGGCUGUUCGCCCAUUAAAGUGGUACGCGAGCUGGGUUCAGAACGUCGUGAGACAGUUCGGUCCCUAUCCGUCGCAGGCGUAGGAAAUUUGAGAAGACCUGUCCUUAGUACGAGAGGACCGGGAUGGACGUACCUCUGGUGUACCAGUUGUCCUGCCAAGGGCAUGGCUGGGUAGUUAUGUACGGAAUGGAUAAGCGCUGAAAGCAUCUAAGCGCGAAGCCAACUUCAAGAUAAGAUUUCCCACCGCAAGGGUAAGACCCCAGAAAGACUAUCUGGUUGAUAGGUCGAAGGUGUAAGUGCAGCAAUGUAUUUAGCUUAUCGAUACUAAUAGGUCGAGGACUUGACCAAU
rnacentral:rRNA from 1 species